rnacentral:rRNA from 1 species
CAAAGGAGCAAUCCGCUGAAAGAUGGGCUCGCGUCCGAUUAGGUAGUUGGCGGGGCAACGGCCCACCAAGCCGACGAUCGGUAGCCGGACUGAGAGGUUGAACGGCCACAUUGGGACUGAGACACGGCCCAGACUCCUACGGGAGGCAGCAGUGAGGGAUAUUGGUCAAUGGGGGAAACCCUGAACCAGCAACGCCGCGUGAGGGAAGACGGUUUUCGGAUUGUAAACCUCUGUCCUCUGUGAAGAUGAUGACGGUAGCAGAGGAGGAAGCUCCGGCUAACUACGUGCCAGCAGCCGCGGUAAUACGUAGGGAGCAAGCGUUGUCCGGAUUUACUGGGUGUAAAGGGUGCGUAGGCGGCUUUGCAAGUCAGAAGUGAAAUCCAUGGGCUUAACCCAUGAACUGCUUUUGAAACUGCAGAGCUUGAGUGGAGUAGAGGUAGGCGGAAUUCCCGGUGUAGCGGUGAAAUGCGUAGAGAUCGGGAGGAACACCAGUGGCGAAGGCGGCCUGCUGGGCUCUAACUGACGCUGAGGCACGAAAGCGUGGGUAGCAAACAGGAUUAGAUACCCUGGUAGUCCACGCUGUAAACGAUGAUUACUAGGUGUGGGUGGACUGACCCCAUCC